UCCUACAAGACAUAAAAUUUACCCCUUUUCUAGAUACAUUCUCUCAGCCUUGGCGAACAAUUCAAAUGGACGUGGGUCCUUCUAGAGGUACAUCAAUUGCUUCAAUCAUUGACGAAUCUCCAAAAUAGGAUCAUCUUUUGUUGACCAUGCUUCUAAUGGAAUAACUUGAUUUCGCCAACACAAUAUCUUCUGUAAUUCCCGAUAUUGUCGAGGAUAAAGUGAGAUUCU
rnacentral:lncRNA from 1 species